GGGACUCAUCUAAAUGAUCUCUUACGGCGCUUCAAGUCCAUAGCGGAAAACAAAAAGGUUUUCACAGAUGAUGAUCUAAUAGCAUUAAUGUCAACCUGAGUUAUAGUGGAGGUGGAUCAUUGGUAAAUG